AUCGAACGCUGGCGGCAGGCCUAACACAUGCAAGUCGAACGAGUGGCGGACGGGUGAGUAAUGUCUGUGAAACUGCCUGAUGGAGGGGGUUAACUACUGGAAACGGUAGCUAAUACCGCAUACCAUCAGAUGUGCCCCGAUGGGAUUAGCUAGUUGGUGGGGUAGCGGCUCACCAAGGCGACGCUCCCUAGCUGGUCUGAGAGGAUGACCAGCGACACGGGAACUGAGGAACGGUCCAGACUCCUACGGGAGGCAGCAGUGGGGAAUAUUGCACAAUGGGCGCAAGCCUGAUGAGGCCAAGCCGCGGGUAUGAAGAAGGCGUUCGGGUUGUAAAGUACGUUAAGCGGGGAGGCGUUACCCGCAGAAGAAGCACCGGCUAACUCCGUGCCAGCAGCCGCGGUAAUAC
rnacentral:rRNA from 1 species